rnacentral:rRNA from 1 species
CCUACGGGGGGCUGCAGUGAGGAAUAUUGGUCAAUGGGCGCGAGCCUGAACCAGCCAAGUCGCGUGAGGGAGGACGGCCCUACGGGUUGUAAACCUCUUUUGCCGGGGAGCAAAGUCACCCACGUGUGGGUGUUGGAGAGUACCUGAAGAAAAAGCAUCGGCUAACUCCGUGCCAGCAGCCGCGGUAAUACGGAGGAUGCGAGCGUUAUCCGGAUUUAUUGGGUUUAAAGGGUGCGUAGGCGGAUCGUUAAGUCAGUGGUCAAAUUGAGGGGCUCAACCCCUUCCCGCCAUUGAAACUGGCGUUCUUGAGUGGAAGAGAAGUAUGCGGAAUGCGUGGUGUAGCGGUGAAAUGCAUAGAUAUCACGCAGAACCCCGAUUGCGAAGGCAGCAUGCCGGCUUCCGACUGACGCUGAAGCACGAAAGCGUGGGUAUCGAACAGGAUUAGAUACCCCUGUAGUC